AUUGUCUAUCACACUGUGCAGCACUGCCCCAGGAAGGAUCUCUAGCAGCCAUCCUAGGAGUGGCCAGUGGAGGUAUCCCUAGGCUGUAAUGUAAACACUGCAUUUUCUUUGAAACAAACCGUGUUUACAGCAAAAAGCCAGAAGGAACUGCUUAUACUCACCAGAACAAAAACAAUAAGCUGUGUACUAUAUAAUAAGCUGGGUACUAUAUAAUAAGCUGUGUACUAUAUAAUAAGCUGUAGUUGUUCAGGUGACUAUAGUGUCCCUUUAAUGCAUUCUUAUUGUA